CUGAACGGUUGUGAGACAUGGACACUGUACAGGAAGCAUAUGAAACAGCUGGAGCAAUUCCACCAACGCUCCCUCCAGUCAAUCAUGAGGAUCUGAUGGCAGGACCGAAUCACCAACCAGGAAGUCCUCGACAGAGCCAACUCCACCAGCAUCGAAGUCCUGGUCCUCAAAACCCAGCUACGAUGGUCUGGACACGUCAUCCGCAUGGACCCACAGCGAAUACUAAGAGAGGUAUUCUAUGGUGAACUGUCAGCUGGACUCAGGAAACAAGGUCGACCAAAGAAAAGAUUCAAGGAUCAGCUAAAGUCCAACUUGAAGUGGGCUGGCAUUGCACCAAAGCAACUAGAACUCGCUGCCUCUGACAGAAGCAGCUGGCGAACCCACAUUAACUAUGCUGCCACCACCUUUGAAGAUGAGCGACGUCGACGUCUUGCCGCUGUGCGUGAACGCCGACACAAGGCCACAACCGCACCUCCCGUAACAACUGGCGUCCCAGGCCCCGUGUGCCACCAACUCUGCGCCUCAGCCUUUGGACUCCAAAGCCACAUGAGGGAUGACUGUAACACUGGAGGACACAGAAUUUUGGAAAUGACAGAAUCCCACUUGGAAACUAACUUCCCCUUAACAGUUGGAAAGAUGGAACUGCACUCAAUCAGGUUCUUCACUGCAUAUGUGUAGGUGGACUUGAUUCUUGAUUUGGCUGAAGGAAUGCUACUUGAAUGGAGAAAAACAUUAGAUGAAUACUUUGAAAGAGACCAGUCAAGAAAAAGGCAAGAUCAGUCCAUCAAACUGUGAAUACCCUUUGACCAAGCAAAAUCACUACUAGCACUACUACAUCUGUAUCCCAAAGAGAUUAAAGGUAGAGGAAAAGAAAAAUGCCUGUAAAUAUAUACAUACAUACAUAUAUAUACACACACACAAUUUAUAUGUGUGU
rnacentral:lncRNA from 1 species